GUUAAGUCACAGUCUGAGUUAGUAGGAGUUCCCACAGAGCUCCUAGAGACUUCAGCUACACCAGAAUUUUGUUAAAAAUAAUAAGCAACUGUAUAAAACUUUCACAAAACAUGCGAAUCUGAAUGGAACUGAUGAGACUUUACUGCGAUUGUUGUUACAGAGCUUGCAGAGCAGCUGGGGGAACUCGCUGACAUAGGAAGACUGAAGGGUUUAAUGUCUGGAGUUCACAAUGUGCCUAAAUCCAAGCUUGCGGCAUAUCCAGCAGAUUCCCAAACAUAGGAUUGAGCAGGGUCUUGAGAGUUCAUCUCAUCCUUCUCCCUGCCCAAAGGAGGAGUCACACAUCCGGCAUCUAAUGUGCUGCAAGUGACUGUGUUUAGGUGAUUGAAUCCCACCUUCUGGUUUUACCCCAGUGUAAGUGUUUUUACCCUAGGUGAUGAAGGCUGCUAUCUUCUUCCUUUGACUAAACUAAAUAAAGUGAACUCUA